CAGCAGCCGCGGGAAUACGUAGGGCGCGAGCGUUGUCCGGAACUAUUGGGCGUAAAGAGCUCGUAGGCGGCUGGUCGCGUCUGUCGUGAAAUCCUCUGGCUUAACUGGGGGCUUGCGGUGGGUACGGGCCGGCUUGAGUGCGGUAGGGGAGAGUGGAAUUCCUCGUGUAGCGGUGAAAUGCGUAGAGAUGUGGAGGAACACCAGUGGCGAAGGCGACUCUCUGGUCUGUAACUGACGCUGAGGAGCGAAAGCGUGGGGAGCGAACAGGAUUAGAUACCCCGGUAGUCCCUGUCUCUUAUAC
rnacentral:rRNA from 1 species